rnacentral:rRNA from 1 species
UACGGAGGGUGCGAGCGUUGUCCGGAAUCAUUGGGCGUAAAGGGCGCGUAGGUGGCCUGCUAAGCGUGCGGUGAAAGCUCGGGGCUCAACCCUGAGUCGGCCGUGCGAACUGGUGGGCUUGAGCACUGUAGAGGCAGGCGGAAUUCCGGGUGUAGCGGUGGAAUGCGUAGAGAUCCGGAAGAACACCAGUGGCGAAGGCGGCCUGCUGGGCAGUAGCUGACACUGAGGCGCGACAGCGUGGGGAGCAAACAGG